rnacentral:rRNA from 1 species
GACGAACGCUGGCGGCGUGCUUAACACAUGCAAGUCGAACGGAAAGGCCCUGCUUUUGUGGGGUGCUCGAGUGGCGAACGGGUGUGUAACCCGUGAGUAUCCUGCCCUUGACUUUGGGAUAUCUUCAGGCAACUGGGGCUAAUACCGGAUAGGAGCUCCUGCUGCUUGGUGGGGGUUGGAACGUUUCGGCGGUUGUGGAUGGACUCGCGGCUUAUCAGCUUGUUGGUGGGGUAGUGGCUUACCAAGGCUUUGACGGGUAGCCGGCCUGAGAGGGGGACCGGCCACAUGGGGACUGAGAUACGGCCCAGACGCCUACGGGAGGCAGCAGUGGGGAAUAUGGCACAAUGGUGGGAAGCCUGAUGAAGCAACGCCGCGUGCGGGAUGACGGCCUUCGGGUGGUAAACCGCAGUCGCCUGUGACGAAGCGGGAGUGACGGUAAUGGGUAAAGAAGCACCGGCUAACUACGUG